rnacentral:rRNA from 1 species
GAUGAACGCUGACAGAAUGCUUAACACAUGCAAGUCAACUUGAAUUUGGGUUUUUAACUUAGAUUUGGGUGGCGGACGGGUGAGUAACGCGUAAAGAACUUGCCUCACAGCUAGGGACAACAUUUAGAAAUGAAUGCUAAUACCUGAUAUUAUGAUUUUAAGGCAUCUUAGAAUUAUGAAAGCUAUAAGCACUGUGAGAGAGCUUUGCGUCCCAUUAGCUAGUUAGAGAGGUAACAGCUCACCAAGGCGAUGAUGGGUAGCCGGCCUGAGAGGGUGAACGGCCACAAGGGGACUGAGACACGGCCCUUACUCCUACGGGAGGCAGCAGUGGGGAAUAUUGGACAAUGGACCGAGAGUCUGAUCCAGCAAUUCUGUGUGCACGAUGAAGUUUUUCGGAAUGUAAAGUGCUUUCAGUUGGGAAGAAAAAAAUGACGGUACCAACAGAAGAAGUGACGGCUAAAUACGUGCCAGCAGCCGCGGUAAUACGUAUGUCACGAGCGUUACCCGGAUUUAUUGGGCGUAAAGCGCGUCUAGGUGGUUAUGUAAGUCUGAUGUGAAAAUGCAGGGCUCAACUCUGUAUUGCGUUGGAAACUGUAUAACUAGAGUACUGGAGAGGUAAGCGGAACUACAAGUGUAGAGGUGAAAUUCGUAGAUAUUUGUAGGAAUGCCGAUGGGGAAGCCAGCUUACUGGACAGAUACUGACGCUAAAGCGCGAAAGCGUGGGUAGCAAACAGG